rnacentral:rRNA from 1 species
CAAAGGUAGCAUAAUCACUUGUCCUCUAAAUAAGGACUAGUAUGAACGGCCACAUGAAGAUUUUCCUGUCUCUUGUAGAAAAUCUAUGAAACUGAUCUUUCAGUACAAAAGCUGACAUAAUUACACAAGACGAAAAGACCCUGUGGAACUUUAAACAAUAGCCAAUAUACCAUGACUUCACUUGCUUUUAGUUGGGGCAACUAUGGAAAUAAACAAAACUUCCACAACAAUACACAGGUGGACACACCAAUUCUUUCCCCCAGACCCAGUACUUACUGAAAAAAGAACCAAGCUACCCCAGGGAUAACAGCGCUAUCCCCUCUUAGAGCCCCCAUCGAUGAGGGGGUUUACGACCUCGAUGUUGGAUCAGGGCCCCCAAACAGUGCAACAGCUGUUAAAGGUUUGUUUGUUCAACAAUUAAUGC